GUGGGGAGCAAACAGGAUUAGAUACCUGGUAGUCCACGCUGUAAACGAUGUCGAUUUGGAGGUUGUUCCCUUGAGGAGUGGCUUCCGGAGCUAACGCGUUAAAUCGACCGCUGGGGAGUACGGCCGCAAGGUUAAAACUCAAAUGAAUUGACGGGGGCCCGCACAAGCGGUGGAGCAUGUGGUUUAAUUCGAUGCAACGCGAAGAACCUUACCUACUCUUGACAUCCAGAGAAUUUAGCAGAGAUGCUUUAGUGCCUUCGGGAACUCUGAGACAGGUGCUGCAUGGCUGUCGUCAGCUCGUGUUGUGAAAUGUUGGGUUAAGUCCCGCAACGAGCGCAACCCUUAUCCUUUGUUGCCAGCACAUUAUGGUGGGAACUCAAAGGAGACUGCCGGUGAUAAACCGGAGGAAGGUGGGGAUGACGUCAAGUCAUCAUGGCCCUUACGAGUAGGGCUACACACGUGCUACAAUGGCGUAUACAAAGAGAAGCGACCUCGCGAGAGCAAGCGGAACUCAUAAAGUACGUCGUAGUCCGGAUUGGAGUCUGCAACUCGACUCCAUGAAGUCGGAAUCGCUAGUAAUCGUAGACCAGAAUGCUACGGUGAAUACGUUCCCGGGCCUUGUACACACCGCCCGUCACACCAUGGGAGUGGGUUGCAAAAGAAGUAGGUAGCUUAACCUUCGGGAGGGCGCUUACCACUUUGUGAUUCAUGACUGGGGUGAAGUCGUAACAAGGUAACCA
rnacentral:rRNA from 1 species